rnacentral:tRNA from 1 species
GGGUCUGUAGCUCCAAUUGGUAGAGCAGGGGCCUCCAAAUCCUCUUGUUGCAGGUUCGAAUCCUGCCAGACCCG